rnacentral:rRNA from 1 species
GAUGAACGCUGGCGGCGUGCCUAAUACAUGCAAGUCGAGCGAACAGACGAGGAGCUUGCUCCUCUGACGUUAGCGUCGGACGGGUGAGUAACACGUGGAUAACCUACCUAUAAGACUGGGAUAACUUCGGGAAACCGGAGCUAAUACCGGAUAAUAUAUUGAACCGCAUGGUUCAAUAGUGAAAGACGGUUUUGCUGUUACUUAUAGAUGGAUCCGCGCCGCAUUAGCUAGUUGGUAAGGUAACGGCUUACCAAGGCAACGAUGCGUAGCCGACCUGAGAGGGUGAUCGGCCACACUGGAACUGAGACACGGUCCAGACUCCUACGGGAGGCAGCAGUAGGGAAUCUUCCGCAAUGGGCGAAAGCUUGACGGAGCAACGCCGCGUGAGUGAUGAAGGUCUUCGGAUCGUAAAACUCUGUUAUUAGGGAAGAACAAAUGUGUAAGUAACUAUGCACGUCUUGACGGUACCUAAUCAGAAAGCCACGGCUAACUACGUG